rnacentral:rRNA from 1 species
UAGGGAAUCUUCCACAAUGGGCGGCAGGCCUGAUGGAGCAACACCGCGUGAGUGAAGAAGGGUUUCGGCUCGUAAAGCUCUGUUGUUAAAGAAGAACACGUAUGAGAGUAACUGUUCAUACGUUGACGGUAUUUAACCAGAAAGUCACGGCUAACUACGUGCCA